rnacentral:rRNA from 1 species
CAGCCGUAAACUAUGCGCGUUAGGUGUACUGGUGACCACGAGUCACCGGGGUGCCGAAGGGAAACCGUGAAACGUGCCGCCUGGGAAGUACGGUCGCAAGGCUGAAACUUAAAGGAAUUGGCGGGGGAGCACCACAACGGGAGGAGCGUGCGGUUUAAUUGGAUUCAACACCGUAAACUCACCAGGGAAGACUGUUACAUGAAAGCCGAGAUGAAGACUCUGCUAGAUUUUCAGAGAGGAGGUGCAUGGCGUCAGUGACU